rnacentral:rRNA from 1 species
GACGAACGCUGGCGGCGUGCUUAACACAUGCAAGUCGAACGGGUCUGCCCUGUUUUUUGCGGGGUGGGUCAGUGGCGAACGGGUGAGUAACACGUGAGUAACCUGCCCCUCACUUCUGGAUAACCGCUUGAAAGGGUGGCUAAUACGGGGUGUUCUGGCUGUGCCGCAUGGUGUGGCUGGGAAAGAUUCACUUUUGUGGUGUUUUGGUGGGGGAUGGGCUCGCGGCCUAUCAGCUUGUUGGGGGGGUGAUGGCCUGCCAAGGCUUUGACGGGUAGCCGGCCUGAGAGGGUGGGCGGUCACACUGGGACUGAGAUACGGCCCAGACUCCUGCGGGAGGCAGCAGUGGGGGGUAUUGCACAAUGGGCGGAAGCCUGAUGCAGCGACGUCGCGUGAGGGAUGGAGGCCUUCGGGUUGUGAACCUCUUUCGCCGGUGAAGAAGGUCCUGCUCUUUGGGGUGGGGUUGACGGUAGCCGGGUUAUGAAGCGCCGGCUAACUACGUG